AAUAUUUGCAUAAAAACAAUUAUAUACAAAAGGUUUAAAUAUACACAACUUAUAUUAAAUUUUAAAUAUAGAUACUCAGAAAAAGUAUUUAUAACACUAUAUAAAACUGCCAUUAAUUGAUAAAUAACAAAUUUUCAGUUACAAUGUUAUACUUAAUUUUUUAUUAUUUUAAAAUUUUGUUUUUACAUUUUUUCCGUUUUUAUCUUUGUGGGCAUGAUAUCUAACUAAAUAUACAAAAUAUAAAAACACAUCAAAUUAGUAUUUUUGACAAUAAUAGAUGUUUUUUAAUCUACAACCAGAUUAAUAAUUUGUCACUCGGCGUCUUGAUUUUUUUACUCUGGAACAAAAUAAUAAAAUAUUUAUUAAAUAUUAUUACUGUAGUUAGUUGUUAACGAUUGCCAUAGUCACUACA